CAAGCCUCAUGGUACACACCAACAUUCCACCUGGAAUCCAACCGGUUUUCUGAGUCCUCAUCCUGUCUUUGGAAUAACAGACCACUCUUAUGCAAGUGUCCUGCGCCAAGGUCUGGGUGAGUGCAUGUUUACAAUGCUGUGUGUAUGGGAGCGAGUUAGAGCAGUUUGCACUAUUUCUCUGCCUACUGGGCAUCGAUAAAUCAACACUUUCCACAUAUAAUUCACAGAAAUUUGAUGUUUGUUUAGCUCCAUUUUCUAUACAGCCAUGGUCCGAGGUUUUGUCCGAAGACUCCUGCUUUGAGGCUAGGGGAGGCUGGGUCACAUGUUUCCCUCCAUCCCCAGCCCAGCUGGAAGCCUGAAAGAUGCCCAGUUCAGCCCGUGGCCCAUUUUCCACCCUGCUCCACCCUGGCCUGUCCAAAUGCCACAUGGCCCUUUCAUACAUCUGGCUGGCAAGCGUUCCUUGGGGUAGAGCAUCUAUCCCCUCUUCUCCGCAUUUGCCCCCUGCCUGGUGCCCCUCUAUAUCUGCCCUCCCGCUCUCCCGGCCUCUCAGCACCAUCUCCCCUCUUUCUCCCCAUAGUGUUUCAACGUUUUCCUGCCUUUGGUGAGAUGGGGCCAUUUCUCUCAAGGGUCGUUUUAAAUAUGCAGAUUUUUAAAUUUUUAUUUUAUUGAAUUAUAUUCAGUUUACAAUUUUGUGUCAAUUUCUGGUGUACAGCUCAAUGCUUCAGUCAUACAAUAACAUUCGUAUAUUCAUUUUCAUGUCCUUUCUCACCAUGAGCUACUACAAGAUUUUGACUAUGGUUCCCUGUGCUGUGUGGUAUAAACUUGUUGCUUUAUUUUAUAUUUACCAUUCACUAUCUGCAAAUCUCGAACUCCCAGUCUAUCCUUUCCCACCCUGUUCCCCUCUGAUAACCAUGAGUUUGUUUUCUAAGUCUGUUUAAUUUUAGAUUCCACAUGAGUGUUGUCAUAUGGUGUUUUUCUUUCUUUCUGGCUUACUUCAUUUAGAAUGAUGUUUUCCAGGGCCAUCCAUGUUGCUCCAAAUGGCAUGAUAUUAUUUUUUAUGGCUGAGUAGUAUUCCAUUGUAUACAUGACAUGGCUUCUGUAUCCAGUCAUCUGUUGCUGGACAUUUAAGCUGUCUCCAUGUCUUGGCUAUUGUAAAUAGUGCUAUGAAUAUUGG